CACUCCCUCUUCCACUCCGUUGUGGGGCAGGGAAAAGGGACUCUUUGGGGUCACUUCAUGCCUUCCCCCCAAGUAGGACUGAGGACACUGUCUUCAUCAUGCAGAGGGUGCCGGGUCUUCCUCCAUCCAAGAACCAGCCCGAGAAGCCUUUCCUCUGUGCCUGGGGAAUGCGACCCCUUCCUGAGGGCACGGUGGGAUGUCGGUGCUGGAAGAGCUAAGCAGCCGCCAUAACCUGGGAACGUCAGGGUUGGGGAGAGUGCUACAAUCCCUUCCACCCUGGAUGGACUGGGGAGCAGCCAGCCUUGGACCUGCCCUCUGGUCCCAGCUUGCAGACUGAGCCCUAAAUUCAACCCCUGGAACCCCACUCCCAUCCCGCCUCGUCUGCUCUCUAAGGCUCUUGGUCUUCCUGCAAGGUCCAGACCAAGGAGGCUGGGCUCCCUCCGGCUUUUAUCCAUUCUGAUCUCCAGGUUUGCCCGGACCAAUCCAGACCCGGAAUAACGAAAACGCAGCUCGGGGAGCCCCCACCAGCCAGCGCCCGUGCCAGCUUCCCCCUGGCCAUGGCGUAGCUGCGGGUGCACACGGCCGCCAAGGCCAGCUCCACAUUCCUCAGUCCCUCUCCCCACUUCACCGGAGAGUGAGCCCUGCGCGCAGAGGAAGGGCCCCAGCUGCACAGACUGCCAAAGUCGACUGGGUCCCUCCUCACCAAAAAUGGUGAGACAAGAUUUCCUCUUGUGCACUGAGGAGCUGCGAGCAGAAAACGUCCGAGUUCUGCUCUUCCUCCCUGACAACUCCAAGAGGAUGCGAUGCCACAAGAAAUGGAACAAGACGGGGAACUUAGACUCAGCCCAGGAGGCCCGGAGGAGGGAGACGCCCGCCGCACACAGGUGAAACCCGCUCCUGGAGAUGCUGCAGCUGGCGACUCUCAGGCAGACGGGGAGGCGGGGGAGGCCGCCUGUCCUUUGCGUUGCCUCUGGGUCGGAAGAGGCGCUGGUGCUGCGGACAGAGCCCAGGCAGGACAGCAUCCCGCACGUGGGGCGCGCUCCCCAGGGUCCCGAGAGACGCCCAGGCCGAGGUGGAAAUUAGGAAGCGGACAGGGCAAGGUCCGAUGGCCCCACGACGGAGAUGGGGCGAAAAUCCGCCCGCAGUCCCUGGGAAGCCGGGCUCCUCGGGCUGUGCGGUGCGCCCGGCCCGCCUCCGGGUGGGAUGGCCUUCGGACCUCCGGCCUCCCGUGGAUUUUUGCCGCGGCCUGUUGGUCCCCAGAGUCACUCAGGACCCGUGAGGAGAACCCUCGCUGGUCGCUCCAGGACUCCGCCCAGCCCUGGUGGAGGAAGUCCAGGGGCACUAGGGCGCGAAUGCGGGGAUCCUGGGCCCCUCGCGCCCUCAGUGGGCCCCUCAGUCCCUCCACCUGGAGGGGGGAAAGCCAAUGAGAGCUGGGCCUUUCCUCUGAGGUGGAAGCUGCGCCUCGGCCCCGAGAUCUUCAGGACCGUCCCUGCUUUGCAGGGGUGGCCAGGGAAAGCCGGUCUCGGUCUCCGCCCUGCCACCCCCGCGCAAUCCUGCGGGAGUCGCGGCGGAGGUGGGUCGCCGGAGGAGGCCGGGCGGCGCGGCUGCAGUUCCGCCCUCUGCCCACUAGGUGUCUCCCAGUUAACCGGACGGCGGGGAGCCGCGGGUUCCCGGGGCGCCAGCCUCGGUUUCCCCCCGCUUUUGGAAGUGUGUCGUUCCUCUGGGAAAGCAACCAGUUUUCUUUCCUUUUUUUUUUUUCCUGCCCCCUCCUCGCCCCGCACUCCAGACCCUGGCUCUGGAAAUCCACCAGAAUCAAACGCUGGCUCCCUGCGGGCCUGCGUCGGACCGCUCUCGCCAUUGGAAUCUUUUUAUGACCUUUGAUGUGUUUAAAUAACAUAGCGAGGCUGAGCACACACCUCGGAUUAAACUUUAAUCGGCAGCAGCCAAGGUCGCCCAGGUGGUAAACGCGUUUCCUCCGAUGUCUCCUGGCGGACACUGCGGGGUCCGAAGUCUGGGGCUGUGGCCCCCACUGUGCCCUCCCGCCUCUGCCCAGGCCGGUGGGGGCCAGGACGAGGGCCAUCCCAUCCAGCUCCAAAGAGGGCUGAGGAAAUGGGAUCGGACGCAGACACCCAGGGUGGGCUAAUGACCUGAACACAGUUUUUAUAGCUACUAGACAGAAUAGUUAAAAAUUCCAAGAGGCACUUCCAAUUUCCCCUGACUCCAGAGAAUGGUUGGAGAUCCAAAGUCAUGGUCAGGGCCUUGAUUGUUUCCCCCAGGUUGCCCAAGGAGGGGUGGGAGGAUUGCUGGUAAUGAUGGUGCAGCCAAAUUAGCUGAUUGUUUUGAAGCUUGCCAAGCCCAUUUUGGGUAGGUGGGGACCUAGAACCCAGGCCAUACAAGGAUAGCUUGAAUUUCAGCUGGGCUGAGUCACCGGGGCUCAACAUAAUUUUCUGAACCAAUACACUCAUCAUAGAGAAUUGUCUUGGGCAGUUACUUAGGUAAAAACCCAAGGCCAGGGCAGCAUAUAUAGUGAGGGCCAGCAGUGUGCUCUUAAAAAGGGGAUGUGUACAUAGGGCUGGAGAGCUAGACAAACCAUCAGUAAAAGUGGCUUCCUCUGGGGAGAACUGGGGGCCAGAGGGUCCAGUGGAGAAUUCACUUUUUGCUAUCAAUUCUUUUGUAUUGCUUGCAAUUUGCACCAAUAUUAUGUGUUAGCCAUUGAGGCAAUACUUUUCAGAAAAUAGGGUGUCUCAUUUAUCCCAUGACCAAACAUGCUUUUGGGGAAUUCCUUCUACAUAGCAAACCAGACUUGGAUUCAGGCGAGACAUUGAAAUAAGGCACCUAAAGCUCAGGCCAGAGCCUUACUGGCUAUCCAGUCAGAUUUCCAUCUCCUGGGAGGGAUUCUCAGGCCUUUCUCUGCUGGGCUGGCCCUAACCUGGAAAUGAACCUGCCAGCCCAGAAUAUAAAACCCCAGUCAUUCAUAGCAACGGGAGAACUCCAUUGUCUCAAAAGGAAUUAAAGCCUGAUCUUCAAUCACACGCCCCCCCCAUCCCUGAGUGCCUGAGGGUUUAUAGACAAGGCCCCUACCUGCUCCUUCAGAUUAGAGAUUCCCACGGCCCCUAGCCAUGGUGCGAAUAGUAAAUAUUUUUUACGUGUA